CCAGAAACAAGAUUAAAGUGUGAGGGCUUAUGGCCAGAUGGCCCCACAUUGUUGUCUUUAUUUUGUGUCCAUGAAGCUAGUAUGUUCACUCCUGGAGCACUAAUGUCAGGCUGCAGCUCAAAAACACUUAAAAGAGAAGGCCCUCUUGAUGAAAAAUAGGCCACUUCUGGUGCCGGCUUAUACUUUGGAACCGUGAUCGAAGGAAGAAUUGUAGCCACUGGGUUUCUUCAAGUCAAAAAGACAAGUGAACAAUUCGAUGCCGGCAUCGCAAUAUUCACCUAUCGAUUUUUGGCGUGAGAUUUGGAGUUCGAAUGCAACGAUUUGCAGACUGCAUACAAUGGUAUGCAGUUCGGUUGGAGAUGAUAUGAAGUAAUAGUGGAGGCAUACAAGCAAUAUAGUAUUUUCCAUCAUUUUUUUUCACACAAAUUGAAAUUAUUGUAUGUAACUCUUUUAUAAGCCUAUUUUGUUGGGUGAAAUUUUUUGUGUUCUUACCGCUAUCAAAGUUUGAUGUAAUUGUCCUAUAUUAUUUGAAAAUGUCAUUAUCAAUUGUGAUUCUUAAAAUUUAAAUUCAAUCUUAUUGUUAGGACUUAAUUAGCCAGACUUUAUAAUAAUGAUUAAGAAAAGUUCCUGCAAUUUAUCAAAGAUAGGCUACAUAAAGCUUAAA